GGACGGGACAACGAGAUUCACUCCAACCCCUGUGACAUACCUUACUGUUGCCUCGGCGGAUCAGCCCGCUCCCGGUAAAACGGGCCUUGCCCGCCAGAGGACCCCUAAACUCUGUUUCUAUAUGUAACUUCUGAGUAAAACCAUAAAUAAAUCAAAACUUUCAACAACGGAUCUCUUGGUUCUGGCAUCGAUGAAGAACGCAGCAAAAUGCGAUAAGUAAUGUGAAUUGCAGAAUUCAGUGAAUCAUCGAAUCUUUGAACGCACAUUGCGCCCGCCAGUAUUCUGGCGGGCAUGCCUGUUCGAGCGUCAUUUCAACCCUCAAGCCCUCGGGUUUGGUGUUGGGGAUCGGCGAGCCUUUCUGGCAAGCCGGCCCCGAAAUCUAGUGGCGGUCUCGCUGCAGCCUCCAUUGCGUAGUAGUAAAACCCUCGCAACUGGAACGCGGCGCGGCCAAGCCGUUAAACCCCCAACUUCUGAAUGUUGACCUCGGAUCAGGUAGGAAUACCCGCUGAACUUAAGCAUAUCAAUAAGCGGAGGAA
rnacentral:rRNA from 1 species